rnacentral:lncRNA from 10 species
UGCUCGGCUGGACUGGCAGCUGCUCACUGGCAGUCUGUGUAAGCAGCUCCCCCUGGAGCCCAUCUCCAAGGUGUGAUGGGACUCUCGCCCCCUGGAGGUGUGCAGCAGGCAGUCCUGGCAGACAGCCCUGAGUCCAAGUGGACAUGGAUGGUGGUAGGAUUUUCCCAAACAGCGUCCUCUCUAUUAGUCUUCCUGGCAUGUGCCUUGAGUCCACAGUCUCAACCUGUUCAUCAUUACACUCACACUAAAGGUUACAAAGGGAGCUCCUGCCCCAUUUUCUUUACCUUUUAUUUUAUUUUUGAGACAGGGACCCACUGUGUUGCCCAGGCUGGUCUUGAACUCCUGGACUCAAGCCAUCUGCCUGCCUGAGCCUCCCAAAGUGCUGGGACUACAGGCUUGAGCUGCUGUACCUGGCCCCACCAAACUUUUGUUCUUUGAUUCACAUCCAUCCUGCCCUCAGAGCCUCCAAGGAUUCUGGGAGGUGCACAGGGCCGGUGAAUGUCCUAUGCCGAUCAGGACCUGGGAACCAGGGAGGCCUGAGUGGCUCAGGGCCACUGUGGUGAAGUCUGUGUCUCCUGAGUUGGGUCUUCUCAACGGUCAACCCCAGAUUUUCUGUGCAGCCCCUCCUGGGUGCAGCCAGGUGCCCCGUGGUGACAGCACCACCAGGGGGCAGCAGGUACCCAUGGCAUUGUUGGCGGGCGGCUGCCUGGGUCCCAGACCUGGCUGGUCCUCUUGGCCAGAGCAGGCAGGCCCAGGACCGUGAGGACAGAGACCAAUUUCCAGGACAGGACCCCCAUCGGAGGCCCUGGGCCCAGGGGACCCUCUCUGCGCUCGCAUCCCCGUUCCGGCCCCUGCGCAGGGAAGCCACGGGGUAAGGGGUCCGGGGGCUGCAGUGCAGCCCCAGCUCAUACAGGCCCAGGAUUCCACCGGAGUCCAGGGUGGGAGCCCUCAGACACCGCACCCCAGCCUCCGGGCUGAGCCAGUCUCAGAGAAGGGCUUGGACUUGCCUGGUGUCCCCCAGUGAAUCAGCAGUGAAAACCCGCGGUUCCCGGCAGCUGAGCCAGGAUCCAUAUAAUUUCAGUUGCAGAAUCUGUUUGUCCUUGAAGCCCCUCCUACCGUCACACGUUGCCAGCUGGACAGACCGCGCCCCCACCACCCAGGGUGUGGCCUAGAAGGGAGAUCAGGGCGGAUCAGCACCGGGGCCGGCUGCGACCCUGGGCCGGAGAGCACCUUCCUGCCCUCACUCAUGUCACGCAUUCCGCCCUGGACGCCAGGAACUGCCCGCUGGGCAGCUGCGAGUGGCCAGGACUUUGGCCAAAAGCUGGGGAAUCCUGGCCUUUAUGCAGGGUCGGGGGUCUUCCUAUGGGCCCCCGGCCAGGGCGGAGGACAGGAAGAGGGCUCUGGGAGUCCUGGGCCCGUGUGCCUUCAGCCUCAGCCUCGGGUAUCCCGCCGGGGCGGCUUGAUGGGCCAAGGGGGCUCAGUAAGCUUCGGCCCAGCCCGGUGCCCUCUCCCGAGUCUGUCGUUACCGAACGGCCAUGCGAGGGCGCCCAGCGCGACAGGGACCACCUCCUGACCUCCACGGAGGACCAAAGGCACCCGGGGGGACGCCCGGCCAUCACUCCACGGGCGAGGUCGCUCCCCCAGGGAGAAGGGCUCCCCAAAGUCCGAGCGCCCUUGGAGAAAGUCGGCCGGACCUGGGCCUG